UACGAAGGGGGCUAGCGUUGCUCGGAAUCACUGGGCGUAAAGGGCGCGUAGGCGGCGUUUUAAGUCGGGGGUGAAAGCCUGUGGCUCAACCACAGAAUGGCCUCGAUACUGGGACGCUUGAGUAUGGUAGAGGUUGGUGGAACUGCGAGUGUAGAGGUGAAAUUCGUAGAUAUUCGCAAGAACACCGGUGGCGAAGGCGGCCAACUGGACCAUUACUGACGCUGAGGUGCGAAAGCGUGGGGAGCAAACAGG
rnacentral:rRNA from 1 species